GAGAUUGGGGUAUUGUAGAAACUCUGCAAAUUUGGGAUUUACAGGGAAGCUAAAGUGUUACUAAGUAAUGUCUUCUACAAAACCAAAGGGAGCAGUCGUGAAUUUGUUGGUUUUGACACUGAAGCUGUUGAGUUAUAAUACGGUGCAUAUGGGAGCGUGCAGCAGAAUUCUUUGCCAAGUUACGAGAUAUUUCCCUCAAGGAUUUCAUCCGUAACAGGAAAGUGAGAGUGUCGGGUUGCAGCCUUACAGUAAGCCUCUUGUUUCUAAUGCGUCAUAGAUACUUGAAACUGGUGUUUGGAAUGAUCACAAAACCUGAAAGAAUGUGUCUUUGAACCGGGAUUACAAAACUUGUACUCGGCAGCUGGGCAUGAAGGAGGAGGACUUUCCAUGCGGAAAUGGUGAUGGACAUGGUACUGGGAAAACCGUCACAGGUAGGGACGCUGUUGUUGAAAAAAUAGAUGCAGUUUGGUUUAGUGAAGGCACUGAAUCCUCUUGAGCAUUGUUGUUGCUGAAAUGGAUUCUCAAAAGGAGUUUGGUGUCUAAAUGUUUUGAGGAAUGUUUGUCUUAGGCAUCGUUGUCUAUGGUCUAGUAUCGUUUUGUUUUCUAUGUUUAUUUAUAAUUUUUCGUUUGGAGUGU